rnacentral:rRNA from 1 species
GACGAACGCUGGCGGCGUGCCUAACACAUGCAAGUCGAACGCAGUGGGGACGGGUGAGUAACACGUGGGUAACCUCCCAUCAGAGGGGAUAACACUUGGAAACAGGUGCUAAACCGAUACUGAUGGAUGGACCCGCGGUGCAUUAGCUAGUUGGUGAGGUAACGGCUCACCAAGGCCACGAUGCAUAGCCGACCGGAGAGGGUGAUCGGCCACACGGGAACUGAGACACGGCCCAGACUCCUACGGGAGGCAGCAGUAGGGAAUCUUGGGCAAUGGACGAAAGUCUGACCGAGCAACGCCGCGUGAGUGAAGAAGGUUUUCGGAUCGUAAAACGCUGUCAUUAAAGAAGCGGUAUCUAACCAGAAAGCCCCGGCUAACUCCGUGCCAGCCGCCGCGGUAAUAC